rnacentral:rRNA from 1 species
UACGAAGGGGGCUAGCGUUGUUCGGAAUUACUGGGCGUAAAGCGCACGUAGGCGGCUUCUUAAGUCGGAGGUGAAAUCCUGGAGCUCAACUCCAGAACUGCCUUCGAUACUGGGAAGCUCGAGUCCGGGAGAGGUGAGUGGAACUGCGAGUGUAGAGGUGAAAUUCGUAGAUAUUCGCAAGAACACCAGUGGCGAAGGCGGCUCACUGGCCCGGUACUGACGCUGAGGUGCGAAAGCGUGGGGAGCAAACAGG